AUGAUAUAGUGUUUGAUUCUGGCUCAGACGAACGCUGGUGGAUGCUUUACACAUGCAAGUCGAACGGCAGCACGGACUUCGGUCUGGUGGCGAGUGGCGAACGGGUGAGUAAUGCAUCGGAACGUGCUCAGUAGCGGGGGAUAACGACGCGAAAGUAGCUAAUACUGCAUACGCUCCCCUUCGGGGAAAGCGGGGACCUUCGGGCCUCGCAACACAGAUGAUAUCGGAUUAGCUAGUUGGUGGGGUAACGGCUCACUAUGCGACGAAUAGAUCCGUAGCUGGUUUGAGAGGACGACCAGCCACAGAGCCGGACUGAGACACUAGCCCAGACUCCUACGGGAGGCAGUGGGGAAUUUUGGACAAUGGGGGAAACCCUGAUCCAGCCAUCCCGCGUGUGCGAUGAAGGCCUUCGGGUUGUAAAGUACUUUGGCAGGAAAGAAACGGCACGGGAUAGCCACCUGUGCAACUGACGGUACCAGAGAAUAAGCACCGGCUAACUACGUGCCAGCAGUCGCGGUAAUACGUAGGGUGCAAGUGUUAAUCGGAAUUACUGGGCGAAGCGUGCGCAGGCGGUUCGGAAAGAAAGAGGGAAAUCAGAGCUUAACUUUGGAACUGCAUUUUUAACUACCGAGCUAGAGUGUGUCAGAGGGAGGUGGAAUUCCGCGUGUAGCAGUGAAAUGCGGUAGAUAUGCGUGGAGGAACACCGAUGGCGAAGGCAGCCUCCUGGGAUAACACUGACGCUCAUGCACGAAAGCGUGGGGAGCAAAACAGGAUUAGAUACCCUGGUGGUCCACGCCCUAAACGAUGCCAACUAGCUGUUGGGGCCUUCGCCUCGGCAGGCAGGUGCCAACGCGUAGGUUGACCGCCUGGGAGCAUUUGGUCGCAAGAUUUUCAAAACUCAAAGGAAUUGACGGGACCCGCCAGGGCGCAGAUGAUGGGAUUGAACGAUGCAACGCGCGCGGCAAACUUACCUACCCUUACAUGUCUGGAAUCCCAGGAGAUUUGGGAGUGCUCGCAAGAGAACCGGAACACAGGUGCUGCAUGGCUGUCGUCAGCCGUGUCGUGAGAUGUUGGGUUAAGUCCCGCAACGAAGGCAACCCUUGUCAUUAGUUGCUACGAAAGGGCACUCUCAUCGAGACUGCCGGUGACAAACCGGAGGAAGGUGGGAUGAGGCCGUUUCUCAUGGCCCUUAUGGGUAGGGCUUCACACGUCAUACAAUGGUCGGGACAGAGGGUCGGCGGAAUCGUGAGGGGGAGCCAAUCCCAGAAACCCGAUCGUAGUCCGAUCGCAGUCUGCAACUGACUGCGGUCGAACUGCCAGGGACCAUGUGGAUCAGCAUGUCGCGGUGAAUACGUUCCUGGCCUGUACACACCGCCCGUCACACCAUGGAGCGGCUUUACCAGGCGGAAGUUAGCCCAAUCCGCAGGAGGGCGAUUACCACAGAGAUUCCGCAUGACUGGGGUGAAGUCGUAAAUAAGGUAACUUCC
rnacentral:rRNA from 1 species